rnacentral:rRNA from 1 species
UACAGAGGUCCCAAGCGUUGUUCGGAUUCACUGGGCGUAAAGGGUGCGCAGGUGGUCGGGUAAGUCUGAUGUGAAAUCCCGCAGCUCAACUGCGGAAUGGCAUUGGAUACUAUUUGGCUAGAGGGUUGGAGGGGGGACUGGAAUUCUCGGUGUAGCAGUGAAAUGCGUAGAUAUCGAGAGGAACACCUGCGGCGAAGGCGGGUUGCUGGGCUGACACUGACGCUGAAGCGCGAAAGCUAGGGGAGCGAACGGG